UAGGAUUCACUCAGUAGCGGCGAGCGAACAGGGAAAAGCCCAGCACUGAAUCCCGCGUUCGAAACCGGACGCCGGGAAAUGUGGUGUUAGGGAGGGUCCGUUAUCCCGAGAUCGUGCGGUGCGUCCAAGUCCUUCUUGAACGGGGCCACAGCCCAUAGAGGGUGCCAGGCCCGUAGCGACCGCUGCCGAUCGCGGGAGGAUCUCUCCUCAGAGUCGGGUUGCUUGAGAGUGCAGCCCUAAGUGGGUGGUAAACUCCAUCUAAGGCUAAAUAUAACCACGAGACCGAUAGCGAACAAGUACCGUGAGGGAAAGUUGAAAAGAACUUUGAAGAAAGAGUUCAAUAGUACGUGAAACCGUUCAGGGGUAAACCUGAGAAACCCGAAAGGUCGAAAGGGGAGAUUCAGCGUGUCUCGGUUCAGGCUCCGGGCUGUCGUGCGACGGACGACGUACGCGUCGGUCCGCGCCUUCGGUACGGUCAGUCGGUUCCGAACCCGUGCACUUCUCCCCCAGUAGGACGUCGCGAUCCGUUGGGUGCCGGUCUAAGGCCCGCGGUGGAGCCCGUCCGGACGGUUCGCCGUUCCGGACGAACCCGCGGUGUUUCCCGGCCGGCUCGCUCGACGGUAUAAAUAUGGCGCGGGGCCGCUACAUAGUUAGCGUCCGACCCUCGGCAAGCGCGUUCGUCGUCGCGGUGUUUCGGACCCGGUGCCGAUCCCGCGCGCGUUCGGCUGUUCGCUGAGGUGUUCUCGGACAGACCUCGUUGAAACGCCGAUCAGCGACGCUAUAGGUUUGGGUACUUUCAGGACCCGUCUUGAAACACGGACCAAGGAGUCUAGCAUGUGCGCGAGUCGUUGGGACAUGACUAAACCUAAAGGCGCAAUGAAAGUGAAGGUCCGCCUCGCGCGGACCGAGGGAGGAUGGGCGUUCGGUCGAGACCGUCGCUCCGCACUCCCGGGGCGUCUCGUUCUCAUUGCGAGAAGAGGCGCACCAAGAGCGUACACGCUGGGACCCGAAAGAUGGUGAACUAUGCCUGGUCAGGACGAAGUCAGGGGAAACCCUGAUGGAGGUCCGUAGCGAUUCUGACGUGCAAAUCGAUCGUCGGAACUGGGUAUAGGGGCGAAAGACUAAUCGAACCAUCUAGUAGCUGGUUCCCUCCGAAGUUUCCCUCAGGAUAGCUGGCGCUCAUAGCGUACGAGUUUCAUCCGGUAAAGCGAAUGAUUAGAGGCAUUGGGGUCGAAACGGCCUCAACCUAUUCUCAAACUUUAAAUGGGUGAGAUCUCCGGCUUGCUCGAACUCAUGAAGCCGCGAGACUCGAAUCAGA
rnacentral:rRNA from 1 species